rnacentral:piRNA from 1 species
UGGACUCUAGCUGAUAUGGUCUUCC